UACGUAGGGUGCGAGCGUUGCCCGGAUUUAUUGGGCGUAAAGGGCGCGUAGGCGGCCACGCACGUCCGUUGUGAAAUCGCCCGGCUCAACUGGGCGGGGUCAGCGGAUGACGGUGUGGCUCGAGCAAGCUAGGGGGCAAUGGAAUUCCGGUGUGAGUGGUGGAAUGCGUAGAUAUCGGGAGGAACACCAGUGGCGAAGGCGGUUGCCUGGAGCUUUGCUGACGCUGAUGCGCGAAAGCGUGGGGAGCGAUCCGG
rnacentral:rRNA from 1 species